rfam:Anopheles gambiae M scf_1925491379 genomic scaffold, whole genome shotgun sequence.
AUGCUAUUAACGACUGCAAUGGGAUAGGAUCCGAAGCCGCUAUAAGGGAUAAAAUAGGCUCUCCUAUUUAACUCCUAUCCGGACGUCCCUGUUCGUGCAGAGUGGAAUCAUAUGUCACCACAUAUCCAAGCUUGGCUACACGGACUAGCUUUCAACCCCUCGGGUGAGGUAGGUGCCUGAACAUCAGAGUGAG